GAUGAACGCUGGCGGCGUGCCUAAUACAUGCAAGUCGAACGCAUUGUGGUUGAAAUGAUAUGAAGAACUUGUUCAGAUUUGAUUUUCAACAUUGCAAUGAGUGGCGAACGGGUGAGUAACACGUGGGAAACCUACCUCUUAGCAGGGGAUAACAUUUGGAAACAAAUGCUAAUACCGUAUAAUAAUUAAAACCGCAUGGUUCUAGUUUAAAAGAUGGUCUUGCUAUCACUAAGAGAUGGUCCCGCGGUGUAUUAGUUAGUUGGUGAGGGUAAUGGCUCACCAAGACAAUGAUACAUAGCCGAGUUGAGAGACUGACGGCCACAAUGGGACUGAGACACGGCCCAUACUCCUACGGGAGGCAGCAGUAGGGAAUCUUCCA
rnacentral:rRNA from 1 species